rnacentral:lncRNA from 1 species
AUCCGAAUAAGCAAGUGUAGGUAGUGAGUGUGAGCUUUGCUGGGUACUUCUUUAAAAGUGGAUCUUGAAGUACCAACCAACUUGAUCUUGCUAAACAAGCCCCAAACAUGAAGAUGCAUCCUAAAGUCCAUUUGCUUAUUACAUCUGUUUGUUGUAGUGAUGAUGAAUUGAGGAGAAGUACAGGACCUUUGAAAAGAGUUAUGACAAUAGCUCCUACUAUUGUUGUUAAGGUUCCAACCAGUUUCCCCCAUCCAUAUCUUUCAGUCAGACUCACCUUCUCGAUCCUCAAUCCCACUGACAUGAUGAAAAUCAUCGCCGGAACGGUGUUGAGGAUGGCAGAAGAGAAGGUUGAUGAUAAGUAAGACAACCCCAGAAGAAAUAACCAUUGGUUCAAUGUAAUCCUACAAUCAAUCAACCAUCAACCAUGCAUCAACAAUGGUUUAAAUUAAUGGUUCUGACGAAAUUCAGUGCUUUAGCGAUGGUAUGAUCGUAUCCAAAACAAAAAAAAUAUAAAUAAUGAAUGAAUUAAUGGUGAUUGGAAUUGAAACUUACCCAAUCAGCGCGAUAAGAAAGAAUUGGAGCAGCAAUGAGAGUGUUAGAGGUGGUCUUUCUUUCCUGUUAGUGAUUAGUAGUGGUUAUUGAUCUAUCGAUCAUUUAGACAUUAAUCAUUGAUGAAUUAAAAAAAAAUGCAUAUAGUGAAACUUAACCUACUUUUCGAGAAAAUAUGCAAAAGGUGCCAAGAAUAAGAAACCAAUGAAGUUCCUGUAAGUUGAGAACACAAGUUUGCUUACAUCCGUCUUCAGUGAGAGAGCAGAUACCACAGACAUUCCUGCAGCACAAAUUUGGAGAACCAAAACUCCCAAAAGAAGCUUCAUCGUUCUUCCCGCUAGUUAUCCUCGAUCUCCGGCCUCUUCAGAUCUCCUCUCUUUUAACUGUAAGUUUUGCAAAUUAAUUGCUCUCCGCCUAUAUUAAAUUCCCAACUACAUGGUAGAGGACACUCUCCAUUUGAAUAGAUCCAUAUAAGCAAGUCAGUGAGUCUGAAAAUAUAUCAUGUUAAAAUAUAUGCAACUGGCUUGAAGAUAAAAAUAUAUCUCAGAUACAACAACUCUCUAUAUGAUCAUGGUAAUAAAAUAUAUGCAACUGGCUUGAAGAUAAAAAUAUAUCUCAGAUACAACAACUCUCUAUAUGAUCAUGGUAAUAAAAUAUAUUGUAUGAAAUCAUGAAAACUUCCACCAACGAAUCUCCUUUUGAUUUAAUCUCCCACAUCUCUUCUAGUGAUUCCAGAUUUGUCGGCCAAUUUGACAGAUCCAAGUAAGCAAAUGCAGACAUUGAAUGUGAGCUUUUCUUGGUACUUGUUCAACAGUAGAUCAUAAAAGACCAAUCAACUUGAUCUAAACAUGAAGAUGCAUCUCCAGACUCCAGAUCAAUUUUCUUAUCUCAUAUGGUAGGUAGGUAGAGUGAUGGUGACUGACUUAAUGUCAGCAGGGAUAACAAUCUAUAUGUUUUCCUUUAUCUAUAGUUAAUUAGCAGUGACAAACUUGAUAUUUGUUGAUUGAAUUUUGACUCUGUGAGAUUGCAAUAUUAUUCUCUAAGAUUAAUAGUAGUUAAACAUAAUGAUUAAGACCUUUAACACUUAAUAAAUAGGGUCAGUUUCAAGUGAGAUUCACUAUAAAUAUCUUUUGAGAAUCCAUAGACUAGGCAUUUCCCGAUGCCUGGCACUAGGAAUGGGCAUGUUUCGGGUUUGGUUCAGGUUUAUUCUCACCGGAACCUGAGUUUUGAAAUCGAGUUUGUAUCAAAAUCCGAAAACGUCUAAAAUUAUAGAACCUGAACCCGAUUUGGAAGUUAGGUUUGGUCGGGUUCAAUCGGACUUCGAGUCUAAUAAUUUUUUGAAAAGAAAUGCAUAAAAAAUCCUGUUAUUUAAAUAAUUUAAUCAAAUAAUUUUGAAAACCUUAAAUAAGAUAAAAUAUCAAAUAAUUUUUAAAUAAUUUUUUAAUGAAAGACUCAAAUGUGAAAAUGAAUCCGACAACGACAACAGCGAGGAGAUGGAAGAUGAAAAUGGAAAAGGAAAGAAAAAUGAUAAUAAUAUUAAAUGUCUAUAUUAAAUUUUUAUAAAAUAUUUUAUAUAAAAUGAAAUUUUCUUUAUAUUAAUUAUUUAUAUUUUAAGAUUUUUUAUAAAUUUCUUCGGAUUUCGGGUGAGUCGAGUUUGGUUGAGGUCUUACCCGAAUCCGACUCAAAAAAAUCAUGUAAAAAAAACUCGAAUUCGUAUCUUUCAUAUCUGGUUUUAUGAUCGACAAUAUCUACCUAACACUUUAUGCGAUACAACGAAUUCUCGUUAUUAUAUUAUAUAAUGUUAUAAUUACAUAAUAUUUUAUUUAAAAACAGGUGGUUUUGUGUUGCCUUGAUAUUAUGAGUCGAGCGAAUGACUCGUCUUUUCCUCACCCCUACUUUUUACUGGUCCCCUCAUUAAAGAUCAAAGUCUAUUUUAUAAUAUUAAUAAUUUAACAUAUAUACUAGUAGGGAUGCAAAAAAAAAAAUUGAUAUUCGACAAACUGUUUGAUUCGAUCCGGGUUCGAUCCGGUUAUUAAACGAACCAAACCUAAAUCUUAUGAAGCGAUCAACAUUCCUACACUCCAAAUCCAAUCAGCAUUUAAAGAAAAACUGAUCAAAGAUCAAACCAUCGAAGAACAACCAUAAGAGAUUUCAGUCAAUAACGUCAUCCGAAGGAGCAACCGUCGGAAGGAUUCUGUUGGUAUCAGGGACCGUCCAAACGGCCUCCUGACCAAACAGGUCCAUCAAGGCCCAGUAAGCCCAAGGGUUUAGGCUAUAAAUACCUCCCCUGGUUCAACAGGGAAGGGGAUCGAUUAUUAUAGUAAACACAAUAUUAGAGAGUUGUGUGUGUAAGCACCCUAGCGCGAGCCCACACACCAUCAGAUUCAAAUCAACAAAACGACUACAUAUAUUAUUAGAAAAAUAUAUCUUUAAUUAUCUCAUGUAUACGAUGUUGGAUUGAUAAGAUUCAUCAUCGUUGAAAGGAGGAAUGGAGAUGAGCUUGUGAGUCAUGUAGACGAUGGAUGUAAGGAAAAAAUAGAAAAUAAGUUUUGGGAAAUCAAAAGCUUGGUGAUGUCUCUUUAUUAAGUGUAUAUUUAUACGGUAAUUUUCAGGUACGCCGUACGUCGGUGUACCAAAAUACGUCGUUCGCAUCAUGUCCUUUAAUUUUUAAUCAAAUAUAGCUACAAUAAUGUACUGCAUAAAACAUUAACACAUUUACGAUAAAAAAAAUGUACAACAAAAGACACUAACUCAUGUACGACGAAAUGUCGGCCAAAUAGUCAGAAUUUUUUGGCGCAUUAAAAUUCGCACACAAGAAACUUACCCUAUAUUUAUAUACACUUAGAGUAACAAUCCACUUAUAUUGUAGUGGAGAUUGUUACCAUAAUAUUGGAAUAAUAGAAUAUAAGUGAUGAGGGUGGAACCUGACCAAUGUUCGGCGUCGCUUCGAACAAGCGCCAGAUGGGGAACUUUGCGGGGAAAUCAGGCCGGGACUCAGUUGCUCAAAGCUCAGCUUCGUUGGGACUUCUCCACUCUCAAUGAUUUGCCCAAAUGAGUGAGAGGUGCCUCAUAUUUAUAGGACUUUUUAUGGGGGGCAAUCUGAUCAUUUGGGCCAUAACCACCUAACUGACCAGAUCUGGUCCCUAAUCGACUUUUCCGGGAUCGACUUUCUUAAGGUCCGACUUUUCUAGAGUCUGACUUCCUGAGAAAGUCGAGUUCUAGGAAAGUCGACCUCUGAGGAAGUCGAUCUUCCCAGGUGUUGACUUGGGACCUCCCCAAACCUGGAAUAGGUGUUUCAGCUCAUCUUGGGUUAUCCGAACCUCUAGUUGCUGGUGCGUUGUGACCAAGUUCGGGAUAUUGUAUCACCAAUAAGUAUUAUACAGUUUGAUAAUUAUAAUAUUUGUAUUCCAAUACCUCCCCUCAAGAUGGCGUGGAUUGAUCAACAACGCCGAGCUUAGAUUUUAUCUCGAGAAAUCGUGAUGAGGGCAAUGGUUUUGUAAAACCAUCCGCGAUUUGAUCUCUCGUUAAUAUAUGUGUUACCUGUAUUGUUCCAUCUUGAACUAAUUCUCAUACAAAAUUGAAAUUGAGUGUCAUAUAUUUCAUCCUGGAGUGAAACACUGGAUUAUGUAUCAGAUAUUUUGCGCCUAGAUUAUAUGUCCAUAGUUGUGAGCAGGUAACCUGUAUUACUCAAAGUUCUUUUAAUAAAUUUUGUAUCCAUACAAUUUCCGAGGAAACAUCAGCCAGAAUACGAAACUCGGCUUCUGUAGACGAUCGUGCAACUGUAGGUUGUUUUUUGGCUGAUCAUGACUCUAAACUUUUCCCGAUAAAUAUUUCAAAACCUCUCGUACUUCAUCGAUCGUCUUGACAUCUUACCUAAUAUGUAUCGAUUCUGUAUAACCAUGAUGGAGUGAACAAAAUUCCAUGAUUGCUAGUACCUUGUAAAUAUCUCAACGCCUGUUUCGUUUCUGUCCAAUGUAGUGUGGUGGGGUUUGGGAGAUACUGAUACAAUUUGUUUAUCACAAACGAUAUAUCUGAUCGAGUGUUUACAAGAUACAAACAACUUAUCUUCGAAUGGUACUCCGUCAGUUGAAUUUAACUUCAUAGACGUUGACAUAGGUGUGGGUGCAGACUUGACCUUGUCCAUUUUUGUUCGACCCAAUAAGUCACACGUGUACCGAUGCUUAGAGAGGACAUACCCCCCAGUUGUACAAAUCAGUAUUUGUAUACAAAAUUCAGUUUAUAUACUUUAUUCAGUUUAUACAAAAUUCAGUUGUAUACCACAUAACUUAUCAAAAAAUAUUAUCUUUAAGAUACUCAAGAAAAUAGAUAUAUAUUAUUUUAACAGAUCUCCUCAUUUUCAUUCAGAAGUCUCUGGUUAAUAUCAUGUUCUUGGCUGGUCUGAUCAUUAGAUAUUUCAUUUUGAUUAUUCUCCCCACUUCUACCUCAUAGCACCAUGUAAAGUCCAAUCACAAUGAUCAAACCGCCAAUAAUCCUGUGAAAAUUUAACUCAAUUAACUAAAAUCACUUCCUUGUUUCCUGUUAUAUAUAAUUUUUAAUCAGCUUACCCUCCAGAAUAUAGUUUGUCCCCAAGUAAAAAGAAACCCAAAACAGCAGUUGCCAUGGUUUUGACCGGAUCGAAAAUCCCGACAAAGAAUGGUCCUCCGCCAUUAAUGCACCAUGCUUGAAGAGGAAAACACAUCCCUGAUACAAUAACUCCCUACAUAUUAUAUAAAAUCAUGAACAUGAUUGAUCUCUAUUAUUAUAACGAUCGUCGCCGUCAUAUAUAUUGGAAGCUCACAUUAUAGAGCAAAGCUAACAACACUCCUCUUGAUUCAAACUUCCACAUCUCGACGUCUCUCUCAGUGAUUGCCGAGAUGGCCGCCAAUUGGAUUGAUCCGAAUAAGCAAGUGUAGGAAGUGAGUGUGAGCUUUGCUGGGUACUUCUUUAAAAGUGGAUCUUGAAGUACCAACCAACUUGAUCUUGCUAGACAAGCCCCAAACAUGAAGGUGCAUCCUAAAGUCCAUUUGCUUAUCAUAUCUUUUUGUGGCAGUGAUGAUGAAUUGAGGAGAAGUACAGGACCUUUGAAAAGAGUUAUGACAAUAGAUCCUGCCAUUGUUGUUAAGGUUCCAACCAGUUUCCCCCAUCCAUAUCUGUCAGUCAGACUCACCUUCUCGAUCCUCAAUCCCACUGACAUGAUGAAAAUCAUCGCCGGAGCGGUGUUGAGGAUGGCAGAAGAGAAGGUUGAUGAUAUAUAAGACAGUCCCAGAAGAAAUAACCAUUUGUUCAAUGUAAUCCUACAAUCAAUCAACCAUCAAUCAUGCAUCAACAAUGCGUUUAAAUUAAUACUGCGGGGUUCUGACGAAAUUCAGUGCUUUAGUGAUGGUAUGAUCGUAUCCAAAACAAAAAAAAUAUAAAUACUGAAUGAAUGGUGAUUGGAAUUGAAACUUACCCAAUCAGCGCGAUAAGAAAGAAUUGGAGCAGCAAUGAGUGUUAGAGGUGGUCUUUCUUCCAUGUUAGUGAUUAGUAGUGGUUAGUGAUUAGUAGUGGUUAUUGAUCGAUCGAUCAUUUGAAAUUAAUCAAUGAUGAAUUAAAGAAAAUCUGCAUAUAGUGAAACUUAGCCUACUUUUCGAGAAAAUAUGUAAAGGGUGCCAAGAAUAAGAAACCAAUGGAGUUCUUGUAAGUUGAGAAUACAAGUUUGCUUACAUCUGUCUUCAGAGAGAGAGAGCUGACACCACAGACAUUCCUGCAGCACAAAUUUGAAGAACCAAAACUCCCAAAAGAAGCUUCUUCAUCGAUCUUUCGGCAAGUUAUCCUCGAUGUCCUCUUCCUGUGAUUAGCAAGUCAUCUACGUAUGCUAGUAUAAAUAUCUUGCUUGUUUCAUUUAUUUUCAUGAAUAGUACAUAGUCUGACUUGGUUUGUUUAAAUCCCACUUGUAAUGCCACUUGUAAUAUCACUUGCUAUUUUAAUUUAAUAGAUAUAUCAUAGAUAUAUUUACACAUAAAAAAAACUAAGAUUUAAACAGACCAAGUCAGACUAUGUACUAUUCAUGAAAAUAAAUGAAACAAACAAGAUAUUUAUACUAGCAUACAUAGAUGACUUGCUAAUCACAGAAAAUAAUCUAAAAGAAAUAAUACAACUAAAGAAAGAAUUAACUAGCAAUUUUUUUUACCAUAAAAAACUUAGGAAAAUUAAAAUAUUUUCUAGGAUUAGAAUUCACAACAAAACAAUGAUUAUAUAUGAGUCAAAGAAAAUAUGCAACUGAAAUCUAGAACAACCUAAUUAUGUACAUGCAAAACCAGGAGAGUAUCCAUUAUAUACUAGUUCUAGUCAUAAUUCCAAACAGAAUCAAAAGGAAGAAAUUCUUGAAGAUCCUACUGUAUACAGGAAAAUAGUUGGAAAACUCGUAUAUUUAACAGUCACAAGACCAGAUAUCAUGCAUGCAGUUAACUGUCUAAGUCAACAUAUGGCAAGGCCUACAAAUGAAGAUACAAGAAAAGUCAACAAAGUACUGAGAUACAUAAAAAGCUCACCGGGUCGUGGACUCUUCUUUUCAUCAGUAUCGCACACCUCCUGGAUCAAGGCUUUUUCAUACUCAGAUUGGGCUGCUUGUCCAACCACGCGAAGAUCGACGACAGGGUUCGCCAUAUUCCUUAAUGAAAACCUGAUUUCAUGGCAAACCAAAAAGUAACACAGGAUUGCAAGAUCAUCAACAGAAGCAGAAUACCGAGCUCUAGCAUACACGACUUGUGAAAUAACAUGGCUACGACAUCUACUAGAAGAACUAAAAAUAAAUGUACCUGCAACAACGACACUCUUAACAGAUAGCUCCUCAGCUGCUGCAAUCACAAACAACCUAGUUCUUCAUCAAAGAACAAAACAUAUAGAGAUUGACAUACACACAAUAAGAGAUAAGGUGUUUAUAAAGGAGAUAAAAAUAAACAAGGUAAAUACGAAAGAAAAUGUUGCAGACAUAUUUACCAAAGAGGUCACCGACACACUCUUCAGAACUCUUCGUGACAAACUCAGAAUAGAAGAUCUGCAUGCAAGCGCAAAAGAUUAAAGAAGGAAAUAGAAGUAGAAUGAGAAGCUAACUACUAUCAGCGGAGUCACCUUUCUGAAUCCGAUGAUCGUUUUCCAAGCUUCCCACUUUUUUUUCAACUUUUCGCGCAAGAAUAGAGAAACCCCUAGUUACGAACAAGAAGCCAAAGUCACAAUACAAAUAUUCUCUUUUUAUACAAACAGUUGGGCCUACCUUCAAUCCAAAAUUUAAGAUCUCCAAACCAAAGUUUUGUAAAUCAAUUGCUCCCCGUCAAUUAAAUUCCAACUACAUCGUCAGUGAGUGUGAGGUUUGCUAGGUACUUCUUCGACAGUGGGUCAUGGCAGACCAAUCAAACAUGACGAUGCGAUCUCUAUUUGUUUAUCAAAUUAUUAGGUAGAUUGAUGGUGGUGAUUUAAUAAAUAUUUGUCUCAUUGGAAUUAAAAAAUGUUAUCUUUAAAAUAUUUAAGAAACUAUAGUAAGAUUGUUUUGAAUGGUUAAUUUCUAGUAGAGGUGAGCUUGGGUCGGGUCAAAUACGAGCCCGACCUGAACAUAUUUAUUCUAAAAGGAUCAUAUCCGGUUGCAACACACGGUUUAUUUAUUUGUCUAUGUUGAUGACAUCGUCAUUAAUUUCUGGAUCAAAUGACGAUAUUGUUGAAACAAUCAUCGUGAAGCUAAGUAAUGAAUUUUGAUUUACGCUGCUUGGCGAAUCUAUCUUUCUUUCUUGGACUUCAGGUAACAUCGGUUGGUCUUGGGUUGCAUUUGAAUCAGGCUCAAUAUCUCAGCAACUUGCUCAAGAGUUGUGAUCUGGUAAACUUGAAGCCUUCUAUCACGCCUAUGGUCAAGAAUCAAGAUCUUCACUCAGUAGAAGAACCCAUCAAAGAGGAAAAAGAAUAUCUACGAAUUAUCGGAUCAUUAUAAUAUCUGAUACUAGCUCGUCCGGACAUUCAAUUUGCGUUCAAUAAGUUAUCACAAUUUAUGUCGACUCCAAAACCUCUUCAUUGGGUUGCAAUGAAGAAGAUGUUGCAGUAUCUCUCUAGGACACAACAGCUUGGAAUUCUACUUACAAAUGUAUCACAUUUUUUUCUUUCUAGUUUUUGUGAUGCCGAUUGGGGGGGGGGUGAUACUAUUGAUUGCAAGAGUCAGAGAGGGUACUUGAUCUAUCUUGGUGAGUCGUUAGUUGCGUGGAGCUCUCGGAAACAGGAUAUCGUCGCUCAUUCAAGCACAUAAUCUGAAUAUAGGACUAUUUCUACCACUAUCACGGAAUUGGAGUGGAUGAAGAACCUGUUGAAGGAGUUAGGGGUUGACACUAAAGGUCCAAUGCAACUCAAAUCUGACAAUUUGGGGGCUACGUUUCUCGCGUCUAAUUCAGCUUAUCAUACAAGAUUAAAGCAUGUUGCAGUAGAUCUUAAAUAUGUCAGAGAACGAGUUGAAGCAGGGUCUGUUAAUGUUACUCAUGUUCCUGGGAGGCUACAACAAGCAGAUGUGCUAACAAAGGCUUUGGAUCCUAAAUCGUUUGCUGAGCAAAGAUCCAAUCUUGUGAGUAAACGAUCCCAAGAUUGAGGGGGUGUAUUAUCUUAAACGAUUUGCUGUCAAUUACAUAGCAGCUAUUACACGUUACAUAUCAAUAAAAUCCUAACCCUAUUGUAAUUUAGGUCAAGAUUUUAUUGACCGUCCUUUUUUGUAUAUAGUAACUCCAACGUUACAUUUGUAUAGUUUAAAUAGCAAUGUAUGCAUGAAUAAAACUCACAUUCAUUUUCCUGAAAAUACAUCUUUCAUAAAAUAUAAUAAAACUAGAUAUAUAUCAUUUUAACAGAUCUCCUCAUCUUCAUUCAGAAGUCUCUGGUUAAUAUCAUGUUCUUGGCUGGUCUGAUCAUUAGAUAUUUCAGUUUGAUUAUUCUCCCCACUUCUACCCCAUAGCACCAUGUAAAGUCCAAUCACAAUGAUCAAACCGCCAAUAAUCCUGUGAAAAUUUAACUCAAUUAACUAAAAUCACUUCCUUGUUUCCUGUUAUAUAUAAUUUUUAAUCAGCUUACCCUCCAGAAUAUAGUUUGUCCCCAAGUAAAAAGAAACCCAAAACAGCAGUUGCCAUGGUUUUGACCGGAUCGAAAAUCCCGACAAAGAAUGGUCCUCCGCCAUUAAUGCACCAUGCUUGAAGAGGAAAACACAUCCCUGAUACAAUAACUCCCUACAUAUUGUAUAAAAUCAUGAACAUGAUCGAUCUCUAUUAUUAUAACGAUCGUCACCGUUAUAUAUAUUGGAAGCUCACAUUAUAGAGCAAAGCUAACAACACUCCUCUUGAUUCAAUCUUCCACAUCUCGACGUCUCUCUCAGUGAUUGCCGAGAUGGCCGCCAAUUGGAUUUAUCCGAAUAAGCAAGUGUAGGCAGUGAGUGUGAGCUUUGCUGGGUACUUCUUUAAAAGUGGAUCUUGAAGUACCAACCAACUUGAUCUUGCUAGACAAGCCCCAAACAUGAAGAUGCAUCCUAAAGUCCAUUUGCUUAUCAUAUCUAUUUGUGGCAGUGAUGAUGAAUUGAGGAGAAGUACAGGACCUUUGAAAAGAGUUAUGACAAUAGCUCCUGCCAUUGUUGUUAAGGUUCCAACCAGUUUCCCCCAUCCAUAUCUGUCAGUCAGACUCACCUUCUCGAUCCUCAAUCCCACUGACAUGAUGAAAAUCAUCGCCGGAACGGUGUUGAGGAUGGCAGAAGAGAAGGUUGAUGAUAGGUAAGACAACCCCAGAAGAAAUAACCAUUGGUUCAAUGUAAUCCUAUACAAUCAAUCAACCAUCAACCAACAAUCAUGUAUCACCAAUGUAUAGUAUCCAGUGCUGGUAUAAUCGUACCCAAAACAAAAAAUAAAUAAAUACUGAAUGAAUGAAUGAAUUUAUUGGAGCUUACCCAAUCAGCGCGAUAAGAAAGAAUUGGAGCAGCAAUGAGAGUGUUAGAGGUGGUCUUUCUUUCCUGUUAGUAAUUAAGUAGGCAAUUAGUAGUAGUUAUCGAUUGAUCGAUCAGUCGAAUUUAAUCACCGACGAAUCAAAGAAAAUCAGCAUAUAAUAAAACUUAACCUACUUUUCGAGAAAAUAUGCAAAGGGUGCCAAGAAUAAGAAACCAAUGAAAUUUCUGUAUGUUGUGAACACAAGUUUGCUUACACCCAUCUUCAGAGAGAGAGCAGACACGACAGACAUUCCUGCAACACAAAUUUGGAGAACCAAAACUCCCAAAAGAAGCUUCAUCAAUCUUCCCUCUAGUUAUCCUCGAUGUCCUCUUCAGAUCUCCUCUCUUUUCACUUAAAGUUUUGCAAAGCAAUUGCUCCCCUUCAAUUAAAUACCCAACUACAUCGUCAGUGAGUGUGAGGUUUGCUAGGUACUUCUCCGACAGUGGGUCAUGGCAGACCAAUGAAACAUGACGAUGCAUUGAUCUCUAUUUGUUUAUCAAAUUAUUAAGUAGAUUGAUGGUGGUGAUUUAAUAAAUAUUUGUCUCAUUGGAAUUAAAAAAUGUUAUCUUUAAAAUAUUUUAGAAACUAUAGUAAAAUUGUUUUGAAUGGUUAAUUUCUAGUAGGGGUGGGUUUGGGUCGGGUCAAACACGAACCCGACCCUGAACAUGUUGGUUCUGGGUCUGGGUUCAGAUGGAUAUUUUCGACCCUGAACAUGUUGGAUCCCGAGUUUUUUUAUCCAAUUUUUUCGGGUCAAGUUCGAGUAAGACCCAAACCAAUCCCCCGUAUGAAAUAUAAAAGAAAUUUUAUUUUAUAUAAAAUAUUUAAUAAAUUUAAUAUAUAUAUUUAAUAAAUUUUUCCUCUUCUUCUAAAAUCUAAAAUCUAAAAUUAUUUUCAUUUCCAUCUCUUCUUUCAUUUUCAUCUUCCCUCUCCCUUUCAUCACUGUCGCCGCAUCUAUUUUUACAUUUGAGUAUUUGAAUAAAAAUUAUUUGAUAUUUUAUCUUAUUUAAGAUUUAAAAAAAUUAUUUGAUGUUUUAUAUUAUUUAAGAAUUAUUUGAUGCUUUAUCUUAUUUAAUAAUUAUUUAAUGUUUUAUCUUGUUUAAAAAUUAUUUUAUGUUUUGUAUUAUUUAAGAAUUAUUUGAUGGUUUUUAUUAAUUAUUAUUUGUUAUUUUAUAUUAUUUAAGAAUUAUUUGAUGUUUUAUAUUAUUUAAAAAUUAUUUGAUCAAAAUUUUCAAAUUAUUUAAAUAAUAAGAUUCUUUAUGCAAAAUUUUCUAAAAAAAUCAUUAAACCCGAACCUGACCGAAUCUGACAUCUAAAUUGGGUUCGGGUACUAUGAUUUUGGAUGUUCCCAGGUUUUGACCCGAAUCCGAUUUCAAAACUUCGUUUUACUACAUUCAAAGAUCCUUUCUCUCUCUGAUGUUUACUGAUUUUUGUAGGCCCUACUCCAGUUUUGUCAUCUCAUGGUUUUCGUUAUUAUGUAAAUUUUAUGGAUGCAGAGUCAAAUUUUAAUUGGGUAUUUUCUCUGCAUUUCAAGUCACAAGUUGGAUAGUUGUUUAAAAAGUUUAAAGUAUUGGCAGAGGCUCAAUGUGGUUAUUCGAUUAAAUCAUUUCAGUCAGAUAACGCCAUAUCCGUACAAUCAUCAACAGAUGAGAUCUGUUGAACAUCGUCAUAAAACAAGGUAAAGUCCAAUCACAAUGAUCAAACCACCAAUAAUCCUGUGGAAAAUAAAGUAAAUUAAAUAAAAUCAGCAAGAUUUUUUGUUAUAUAUUAUAUCACAUGCAUGCUUUGAUGCUCACCCUCCAGAAUACAGUUGGUCCCCAAGUAAGAAGAAACCCAGAACAGCAGUAGUAAAAGUUUUAACAGGAUCGAAAACUCCAACAAAGAGUGGUCCUCCACCAUUAAUGCACCAUGCUUGAAGUGGAUAACAUAUCCCAGAUGCAACAACUCCCUGCAUAUAAAAUUUUAAUUAAUAAAAUAUUUUAUUCAAAAUUCAAAUCAUGAACAGCUAGAUAGAUGAUUAUAGUGUAUUACAGUAUAGAGCAAAGCCAGAAUCUCUCCUUUUGAUUUAAUCACCCACAUCUCAAUAUCUCUCUCAGUGAAUGCUGAGAUGGCAGCCAAUUGGAUUGAUGCAAACAAGCAAGUGUAGGCAGUGAGUGUGAGCUUUGCUGGGUAUUUCUUCAACAAUGGAUCUUGAAGUACCAACCAAAUUGACCUUGCAAGACAAGUUCCAAACAUGAAGAUGCAUCCUAAACUCCAUUUGCUAAUAACCAAAUCUGUUUGUUGCAGUGACAAUGAAUUAAGGAGAAAUGCAGGACCCUUGAAAAGUGUUAUAAGACUAGCUCCUACUACUGUUAUUAAUGUUCCAACCAGUUUCCCCCAUCCAUAUCUGUCAGUCAGAUUAACCUUCUCGAUCCUCAAUCCCACUGACAUGAUGAAAAUCAUCGCCGGAACGGCGUUAAGUAUAGCAGAAGAGAAGGUUGAUGAUAUAUAAGACAGACCCAGAAGAAAUAACCAUUGGUUCAAUGUAACCCUACAAUCAAUAAUUAACAAUCAACCAUACAUCACCAAUAUGUAAAUACUGCGGAGUUCGGAUGGGAUCCAGUGUUUUAUUGCUGGUAUGAUCUCACUCAAAACAAAAAAAAAUAUAAAUACUGAUCAAUGAAUGGUGAUUGGAAUUGAAACUUACCCAAUCAGCGCGAUAAGAAAGAAUUGGAGCAGCAAUGAGAGUGUUAGAGGUGGUCUGUCCUUCCUGUAAGUAAAUGAUUCGGUGAUUGAUGGAAUAUUACAAAUAUGCAAUGUGAAGUUAAUCAUAUGUAUUGAUUGAACUUACUUUUCAAGAAAAUAUGCAAAGGGUGCCAAGAAUAAGAAACCAAUGAAGUUCCUGUAAGUUGAGAACACAAGUUUGCUCACACCCAUGUUCAGAGAGAGAGCACACACCACAAGUAAACCUGCAAGAAAAAGCUGGAGAACCAACACUCCCAAAAUAAGCUUCAUCUCUCUAGCUUGAGUACUCUAAAUUCUAACUACCUCUUCUUCUCCUCUACCUCUUUUCAUUUAAGCUAUCUUUGCUGCAAAAUCGCUCAAUUACUGAACUACAAAUUGCAUGAUACCACCUCCAAAACAAUAAAUGCCUGGGCUUCUGCUUCACCCCAUGUUCCUUGUCUCCAAUAAUUGGCACCAUAUGUAUGUUGGUGAAAAUAGUCGACGCCGCAGGUCAAUGACGUAAGCAUUGUCGAGGAAGGGGAAGAAGUCACCGUGCAUUUAAGAAAGGGAAGAGACCCCCCCAGCCCCAGAACUCUUCCUCUGUCCGUUUGUUCCUUGUACUUUGCAUUAUUUGCCUCUAAAUUACUCGGUGUAGCUUGUCAGAAAGAGAGUUAUUAUUAUUAUUUGAAGACAUCUACGAUAAAAGUAUAAUAGAUCAACCUUUUACUAUAUAACUAAACUACAUAGUUAAUAAGUGAGAGUCAAUAAAUUUUUUGCUUUUUUUUUACUUCUAUUUGUAUUUCUAUUCUCUAUUGUAAUUUCGGCUAUGCUUUUCAUUUUUAAUGAAAUUUAAUUGUUUUAAAAAAAAGGUAUUUAAGUUAUGGUCUGGGUUGGGCAGAAAAGAGAUUUAACUUAUAACUAAUGUUAGCAUUUUCUUAUCAUCCCUUGAACUUUCAUCAAACAUUUUCUUCUUCUCUAAGUAGCAAUUCAUCAAACACUUUCACUACAUCUUCAAGUUAUUAUAUUGAAAAAUGGAAUAUGACAAUGAUAUAAGUCAUGAUUGAGACAUAUAUCAAUACAUAUCUUAGAAUUAAAUCAUGUUUUGACAGAUCUCAUCUUUUUCUUCAUCUUGAUUAAGAAGUCUCUGGUUAAUAUCAUGUUCAUUGCUGGUUUGGUCAAUAAAUAUUUCAGUCUGCUCCUUCUUAUGAUUCUUCUUCUCCCCACUCCUACCCCAUAAAACAAGGUAAAGUCCAAUCACAAUGAUCAAACCACCAAUAAUCCUGUGGAAAAUAAAUAAAUAAAAUAAAAUCAGCAAGAUUUUUUUGUUAUAUAUUAUAUCAGAUGCAUGCUUUGAUGCUCACCCUCCAGAAUACAGUUGGUCACCAAGUAAGAAGAAACCCAAAACAGCAGUAGUAAAAGUUUUAACAGGUCGAAAACUCCAACAAAGAGUGGUCCUCCACCAUUAAUGCACCAUGCUUGAAGUGGAUAACAUAUCCCAGAUGCAACAACUCCCUGCAUAUAAAAUUUUGAUUAAUAAAAUAUUUUAUUCAAAAUUCAAAUCAUGAACAGCUAGAUAGAUGAUUAUAGUGUAUUACAGUAUAGAGCAAAGCCAGAAUCUCUCCUUUUGAUUUAAUCUCCCACAUCUCGAUAUCUCUCUCAGUGAAUGCUGAGAUAGCAGCUAAUUGGAUUGAUGCAAACAAGCAAGUGUAGGCAUUGAGUGUGAGCUUUGCUGGAUACUUCUUUAACAAUGGAUCUUGAAGUACCAACCAAGUUGACCUUGCAAGACAAGAUCCAAACAUGAAGAUACAUCCUAAGAUCCAUUUGCUAAUUACCAAAUCUGUUUGUUGCAGUGAAAAUGAAUUAAGGAGAAGUGCAGGACCCUUGAAAAGAGUUAUAACAGUAGCUCCUACUACUGUUAUUAAUGUUCCAACCAGUUUCCUCCAUCCAUAUCUGUCAGUCAGAUUCACCUUCUCGAUCCUCAAUCCUACUGACAUGAUGAAAAUGAUCGCCGGAACGGUGUUAAGUAUAGCAGAAGAGAAGGUUGAUGAUAUAUAAGACAGACCCAGAAGAAAUAACCAUUGGUUUAAUGUAACCCUACAAUCAAUAAUUAACAAUCAACCAUGCAUCACCAAUAUGUAAA